UCAGGGAGCGGGAAAGCGCCCGGCCCUAGGGCUGAGCAAACCGCGCUGGCGUCCAGGUUAGGCGCCCUCCUAUCUGCGGUUUACUCUGCGCUUCUGCUCCCUCACUGUGACGUCCGGGUAAGACUGUCCUUCCCAGGGCGGCCGGCAGGCUUACAGCGCUUAAAGUACAGGGGGCACUUGGUCCAGAGCCUCAGCAGCCUGGGAGUCAGAAUCCUCUCUCCACGUCCCCCUUAGCGCGUGCUCUGGGCACGACCGAGUCGCGUGUUUGUCCCACUCUUCCCCUAUACUCCAACCUUUCUUUCCUCAAGCUGGAUAAAAUGAACCCUUUAUAGCGCUUCUCUGCCAGCAACGGCAAGUCAAAAUCACCAGCUGCUCCUCUGACAAGCGUAGCUGGCCCGGUCGCAGCCGCUGUCCUGAGUCGGCACAGCCGAGAGCCCUCUGCUGGGGACAUUGGGUGCCGCGGAAAGGCCGGAGACUUCCCAGAAGGAGGCUCCUUUUGGCGUUUUUGGCCUAAUGCCUCUGAAACCAUGAUUUUGAUGGUGGGGAGAGAGUGUGAGAAACCGAUAAGGAAACUGAGUCACAGAGCAGGGAAGUCACUUGCCCCAAGCCUCCUGUAUAUUCUGCCUGACUCCAGAAAGUGCUGCCUUGGGAGGGCUGACAACCCUUGACUCCCCCUUUCCCAGCUGUGGACACUCCUCUAGAGGCUCCCAGUGAUGCCAAGCAUCCCGCUUUUGCCUGCCUCCCAAACCUCCAGAGCAGUUUCCCCAUGACCUGUCCCGAGAAAAGUGAUCAUCCAGUUGGAAUUUUCCACAUUCGCCUCUUAUAUGAAAGG